rnacentral:rRNA from 1 species
AUGCAAGUCGAACGGUGAAGCCCAGCUUGCUGGGUGGAUCAGUGGCGAACGGGUGAGUAACACGUGAGCAACCUGCCCCCUACUUCGGGAUAAGCCUUGGAAACGAGGUCUAAUACCGGAUAUGAGCACUUACCGCAUGGUAGGUGUUGGAAAGUUUUUCGGUGGGGGAUGGGCUCGCGGCCUAUCAGCUUGUUGGUGGGGUAAUGGCCUACCAAGGCGUCGACGGGUAGCCGGCCUGAGAGGGCGACCGGCCACACUGGGACUGAGACACGGCCCAGACUCCUACGGGAGGCAGCAGUGGGGAAUAUUGCACAAUGGGCGAAAGCCUGAUGCAGCGACGCCACGUGAGGGAUGACGGCCUUCGGGUUGUAAACCUCUUUCAGCAGGGAAGAAGCGAAAGUGACGGUACCUGCAGAAGAAGCGCCGGCUAACUACGUGCCAGCAGCCGCGGUAAUACGUAGGGCGCAAGCGUUGUCCGGAAUUAUUGGGCGUAAAGAGCUCGUAGGCGGUCUGUCGCGUCUGGUGUGAAAUCCCAUGGCUCAACUGUGGGCUUGCAUCGGGUACGGGCAGACUAGAGUGCUGUAGGGGAGACUGGAAUUCCUGGUGUAGCGGUGGAAUGCGCAGAUAUCAGGAGGAACACCGAUGGCGAAGGCAGGUCUCUGGGCAGUUACUGACGCUGAGGAGCGAAAGCAUGGGGAGCGAACAGGAUUAGAUACCCUGGUAGUCCAUGCCGUAAACGUUGGGCACUAGGUGUGGGGCCAGUUCCACUGGUUCUGUGCCGCAGCUAACGCAUUAAGUGCCCCGCCUGGGGAGUACGGCCGCAAGGCUAAAACUCAAAGGAAUUGACGGGGGCCCGCACAAGCGGCGGAGCAUGCGGAUUAAUUCGAUGCAACGCGAAGAACCUUACCAAGGCUUGACAUGUACGA